rnacentral:rRNA from 1 species
UACGGGGGGGGCAAGCGUUGUUCGGAAUUACUGGGCGUAAAGGGCUCGUAGGCGGCCAACUAAGUCGGAUGUGAAAUCCCCAGGCUCAACUUGGGAACUGCAUCCGAUACUGGAUGGCUUGAAUCCGGGAGAGGGAUGCAGAAUUCCAGGUGUAGCGGUGAAAUGCGUAGAUAUCUGGAGGAAUACCGGCGGUGUAGACGGCUUUCUGGACCGUAGCUGACGCUGAGACACGAAAGCGUGGGUAGCAAACAGG